rnacentral:rRNA from 1 species
AACGAACGCUGGCGGCAGGCUUAACACAUGCAAGUCGAACGCCCCGCAAGGGGUGUGGCAGACGGGUGAGUAACGCGUGGGAAUCUACCUAGUUCUACGGAACAACUGAGGGAAACUUCAGCUAAUACCGUAUACGCCCUAAGGGGGAAAGAUUUAUCGGAAUUAGAUGAGCCCGCGUUGGAUUAGCUAGUUGGUGGGGUAAUGGCCUACCAAGGCGACGAUCUAUAGCUGGUCUGAGAGGAUGAUCAGCCACACUGGGACUGAGACACGGCCCAGACUCCUACGGGAGGCAGCAGUGGGGAAUAUUGGACAAUGGGCGCAAGCCUGAUCCAGCCAUGCCGCGUGAGUGAUGAAGGCCUUGGGGUUGUAAAGCUCUUUCAGUGGGGACGAUAAUGACGGUACCCACAGAAGAAGCCCCGGCUAACUUCGUGCCAGCCGCCGCCGUAACAC